CUACGGGGUGCAGCAGUGAGGAAUAUUGCACAAUGGGGGGAACCCUGAUGCAGCAACGCCGCGUGGAGGAGGCCUCAUUUCGGUGUUUACCCCCCUUUUAUAUGUUCAUCCCCUUCCUUUCUCAUAUGAAUAAGCACCGGCUAACUCCGUGCCAGCAUCCGCGGUAAUACGGAGGGUGCAAGCGUUACUCGGAAUCACUGGGCGUAAAGGACGCGUAGGCGGGUUGGAAAGUCAGGUGUGAAAUCCUACAGCUUAACUGUAGAACUGCACUUGAAACUUCUAAUCUAGAGUAUGGGAGGGGGAGAUGGAAUUAGUGGUGUAGGGGUAAAAUCCGUAGAUAUCACUAGGAAUACCUAAAGCGAAGGCGAUCUCCUGGAACAUUACUGACGCUAAGGCGUGAAAGCGUGGGGAGCAAACAGGAUUAGAUACCCCCGUAGUC
rnacentral:rRNA from 1 species